AGUCGAGCGAUGAAACUUUAACAGAACCCUUCGGGGCGAAGAUAAAGUGGAUUAGCGGCGGACGGGUGAGUAACACGUGAGUAACCUGCCUUAGACAUUGGGAUAGCCUCGGGAAACUGGGAUUAAUACCAAAUAAAAUCAUAAUGACACAUGUCAUAACGAUCAAAACUCCGGUGGUCUAAGAUGGACUCGCGUCCCAUUAGCUAGUUGGUAGAGUAAAAGCCUACCAAGGCGACGAUGGGUAGCCGGCCUGAGAGGGUGAACGGCCACAUUGGAACUGAGAAACGGUCCAAACUCCUACGGGAGGCAGCAGUGGGGAAUAUUGCACAAUGGAGGGAACUCUGAUGCAGCGACGCCGCGUGAACGAAGAAGGCUUUCGAGUCGUAAAGUUCUUUUAUAUGGGAAGAUAAUGACGGUACCAUAAGAAAAAGCCCCGGCUAACUACGUGCCAGCAGCCGCGGUAAUACGUAGGGGGCUAGCGUUGUCCGGAAUCACUGGGCGUAAAGGGUUCGCAGGCGGAAAUGCAAGUCAGAUGUAAAAGGCAGUAGCUUAACUACUGUAAGCAUUUGAAACUGCAUAUCUUGAGAAGAGUAGAGGUAAGUGGAAUUUUUAGUGUAGCGGUGAAAUGCGUAGAUAUUAAAAAGAAUACCGGUGGCGAAGGCGACUUACUGGGCUCAUUCUGACGCUGAGGAACGAAAGCGUGGGUGCAA
rnacentral:rRNA from 2 species